rnacentral:misc_RNA from 1 species
CCAAUAGCGUAUAUUAAAGUUGUUGCAGUUAAAAAGCUCGUAGUUGAAUUUCGGGGUCAGUAAGUUAGUCGUGCCACUGGUAUGUACUGGCUUUACUGAUUCCUCCUUCUUGUAGAACCGUAAUGCCAUUAAGUUGGUGUUGCGGGGAAACAGGACUGUUACUUUGAAAAAAUUAGAGUGUUUAAAGCAAGCUAACGCUUGAAUUCAUUAGCAUGGAAUAAUGAAAUAGGACGAACGAUCCUAUUUUGUUGGUUUCUAGGAUUGACGUAAUGAUUAAUAGGGAUAGUUGGGGGCAUUAGUAUUCAAUUGUCAGAGGUGAAAUUCUUGGAUUUAUUGAAGACUAACUACUGCGAAAGCAUUUGCCAAGGAUGUUUUCAUUAAUCAAGAACGAAAGUUAGGGGAUCGAAGACGAUCAGAUACCGUCGUAGUCUUAACCAUAAACUAUGCCGACUAGGGAUCGGAUGAUGUUAAUUUUAUAAUGACUCAUUCGGCGCCUUACG